GCAGCCUUCUGGCGAGUGGUCAACAACAACAACAAAAAUGCAAACAGUAAACUAAUACGUAUAGCAAUAACAAAAAAGAUACUAAUAACAAAGGUGGUGGCGUACAUACAGACAAGACAAGCAGCCAGCUAGAGCCAGGAGAGGUGAAAUGAAGGACAGGAGGAGAGGUAUGGCGGGACAGCUAGAAUAGUUGUUGGGAUUGGUAUUGGAUUCCUUAUUUUCUUUGGGUGUAUUCUCUUUUGUCGGUGCCGGGUUUUUUCUCUUUUGUGCUCCUUUCUGGUUCUUGGGGGCUUUGAUUUGAAGGAAAUAUCAAAGCUGGACUUGGUGGGAAGCCACCAACUAGUCUGCCCCUAAAUACUAUAAUCAGAUUUUAUUUGUAAUAUAGUAGUGUUAACUCUUUUUUUUGGGUCAAAUUGUAUACACAUGAACUACAAGAUAUGUGAUCUUGCAAAGAAACAUAGCAGUAAUGGGUACAUACUGCAU
rnacentral:lncRNA from 7 species